AUUGAACGCUGGCGGCAUGCCUUACACAUGCAAGUCGAACGGCAGCACGGGAGCAAUCCUGGUGGCGAGUGGCGAACGGGUGAGUAAUAUAUCGGAACGUGCCCAGUCGUGGGGGAUAACGCAGCGAAAGCUGUGCUAAUACCGCAUACGAUCUACGGAUGAAAGCGGGGGAUCGCAAGACCUCGCGCGAUUGGAGCGGCCGAUAUCAGAUUAGCUAGUUGGUGGGGUAAAAGCCCACCAAGGCGACGAUCUGUAGCUGGUCUGAGAGGACGACCAGCCACACUGGAACUGAGACACGGUCCAGACUCCUACGGGAGGCAGCAGUGGGGAAUUUUGGACAAUGGGCGAAAGCCUGAUCCAGCAAUGCCGCGUGCAGGACGAAGGCCUUCGGGUUGUAAACUGCUUUUGUACGGAACGAAACGGUCUCUUCUAAUAAAGGGGGCUAAUGACGGUACCGUAAGAAUAAGCACCGGCUAACUACGUG
rnacentral:rRNA from 1 species